GGAGUUUUCUAUUUUUGCAAGAGUAAAAAACUCAAAAAGUGCUCAACUCCUCUUUUUAUAGAGCACUCCAACUAAUCUCCCACCGUUAAAUUCAAAUGCAAUUAAUCUAGGCUGUCCGUCGCACCAUCAAUCUAGGCCGUUGAAAUGAAACACCAGAUUUGAUCUACGGCUAAGAUCUUGUUGUGAUCCUCACACUCACAUAUAACACGUCACCUCGAUCACCACCAACCGUCAACAAUAAGUAGCCACAGCAGCCUUUUAGGGGAAUGGGCGUUGCAUCCAACUGUCACCUUGGAAAUACACAGCAGCUGUCAAAUCAUUUAACGUCAGACACGUCCGCCUCGGAUCGAGCUCCUCACUCAACCUUACAAAGUUUAGGCGUACCUGACGUGGAGUCCCCUGUGGGUCAUUGCUUCGAUCGCUGCGCUCGCUCCUAAGCUUUACAAAGUUUUAGCCAUCUCCCAACGCGUCAUCCCUUGUGGGUCAGCGCACCGGUGGCAGAUGAGCUCUUCACUCAACUUUACAAAGCUUAGGCGUACUUGACGAGGAGUCCCCUGUGGGUUAUCGCCUCGGUCGCUGCGCUCCCUCCUAAACUUUACAAAGUUUUAGCCAUCUUCCAACGCGUCGUCCCCUGUGGGUCAGCGCACCGGUACAUAUAAGCUCCUCACUCAACUUUACAAAACUUAGGCGCACCUGAAGUGGAGUCCCCUGUGGGUCAUUGCCUCAGUCGCUGCGCUCCCUCCUAAACUUUACAAAGUUUUAGCCAUCUCCCAACGCGUUGUCCCGUAUGGGUCAGUGCACCGGUGGCAGAUGAGCUCCUUACUCAACUUUACAAAACUUAGGUGCACCUGACGUGGAGUUCCCUGUGGGUUAUCGGCUCAGUCACUGCACUCCC
rnacentral:lncRNA from 1 species